GGCAUUUUUGGGGCUUGGGGGGAAUGGGGGGAAAUUGGGGUACUUGGGGGUAUUUGAGGUAUUUGGGGGCACAUUUGGGGCCAGAUUGGGGACAAAUUUUGGGUCCCUGUGGGACCAUGUGGAGGCAUUUUGAGGUCCUUUUGGGGAUCUAUUUGGGGUCACAUUAGGAUCCCUUUGGGGCAAAUUUGGGGGUCACUUUGGGGCCAUAUCGGGGCACAUUUUGUCCCAUAUUGGGUCCCAUUUGGUCCCAUAUUGGGGCACAUUUGGGCCCACACUGGGGACAUUUGGGGCCAUAUCAGGACACAUUUGGGACCAUAUUGGGGCACAUUUGUGCCCAUACCAGGUCCCAUUUGGGGCCCACAUAUGAGCACAUAUGGGGCCAUAUCGGGUCCCACUUGGGGACAUACUGGGGCACAUUUGGUCCCAUAUCAGAGCACAUUUGGGGCCAUAUUUUGUCCCAUUUGUGCCCAUAUUGGGUCCCAUUUGGGGUCAUAUCAGGUCCCAUUUGGUCCCAUAUCAGCACACAUUUGGGGCCAUAUUGGGCCUCAUUUGCUCCCAUAUUGGGUCCCAUUUGGGGUCAUAUCAGGUCCCAUUUGGUCCCAUAUCAGCACACAUUUGGGGCCAUAUUGGGCCUCAUUUGCUCCCAUAUUGGGUCCCAUUUGGGGUCAUAUCAGGUCCCAUUUGGUCCCAUAUCAGCACACAUUUGGGGCCAUAUUGGGCCUCAUUUGCUCCCAUAUUGGGUCCCAUUUGGGGUCAUAUCAGGGCACAUUUGGGGUCGUAUUGGGUUGCAUUUGGGGCCACAUUGGGUCCCAUUUGGGGUCAUAUCAGGUCCCAUUUGCUCCCAUAUCAGGGCCCAUUUGGGGCCGUAUCGGGUCCCAUUUGCUCCCCCAUCGGGUCCCAUUUGCCCCCAGGUUGGGGCAGGGCUGCGUUCCCACCUGCGCAGGCGGAAGGCGAAGACGUUUUUCCUGAAGAUGCCCCGCUGCAUCAUGUUGUCAAACACCGGCACCGCCGGCCCCGCCGCCGCCCCGGGGUACGCCAGCCCCAGCACCCCAUCAAAGCGCGCGGCCGCGAACGUCAGGCCGGGCAGAGCCACUGCCUCCGCAAACGUCUGAGCCUCCAGGGACACGUUGGAGAUCUGCGGGGAUGGGCGUCAGCGACCACCGGGGCACCUCACAGGGAACGGCAGGGGGACCCCUGGAGGGACCUCCAGAGGGAAACCCAGAGGGACCCCCAUAGAGAAACCCAUAGGGACCCCCAGAGAGACCCCCCUAGGGACCCCCAUAGGGACCCCCAUAGAGAAACCCA
rnacentral:lncRNA from 1 species